UCGGGAAUUUUGGGCAAUGGGCGAAAGCCUGACCCAGCAACGCCGCGUGAAGGAUGAAGUCUCUCGGGAUGUAAACUUCGUAAGAAUAGGAAGAAUAAAUGACGGUACUAUUUGUAAGGUCCGGCUAACUACGUGCCAGCAGCCGCGGUAAUACGUAGGGACCAAGCGUUGUUCGGAUUUACUGGGCGUAAAGGGCGCGUAGGCGGCGUGUCAAGUCAAUUGUGAAAUCUCCGAGCUUAACUCGGAACGGUCAAUUGAUACUGAUGUGCUAGAGUGCAGAAGGGGCAAUCGGAAUUCUUGGUGUAGCGGUGAAAUGCGUAGAUAUCAAGAGGAACACCUGAGGUGAAGACGGGUUGCUGGGCUGACACUGACGCUGAGGCGCGAAAGCUAGGGUAGCAAACGGGAUUAGAUACCCCGGUAGUCCUAGCCCUAAACGAUGAAUACUUGGUGUCUGGAGUUUUAAUUCUCCGGGUGCCGUCGCUAACGUUUUUAGUAUUCCGCCUGGGGAGUACGCACGCAAGUGUGAAACUCAAAGGAAUUGACGG
rnacentral:rRNA from 1 species